rnacentral:rRNA from 1 species
CCCUUAGAUGUUCUGGGCCGCACGCGCGCUACACUGACGAAGUCAGCGAGCAUGUCCUACGCCGACAGGUGCGGGGAAUCUUGUCAAACUUCGUCGUGAUGGGGAUUGAUUUUUGAAAUUCUUGAUCAUAAACGAGGAAUUCCUAGUAAGCGCAAGUCAGCAGCUUGCGUUGAUUACGUCCCUGCCCUUUGUACACACCGCCCGUCGCUACUACCGAUUGAAUGGUUUAGUGAGACCUUCGGAUUGGCGCCACUGCAGCUCAGCAAUGGGCUUGGUGGAUGCCGAAAAGUUGAUCAAACUUGAUCAUUUAGAGGAAGUAAAAGUCGUAACA